rnacentral:misc_RNA from 1 species
AAAGUCGUAACAAGGUCUCCGUAGGUGAACCUGCGGAGGGAUCAUUAACACUAUUUGGCUGUGAGGCGUGAAAGCGCUUCUCAGUUCAAAUUUACACACACUUGUUGAACUCGGUUAUGCGAAUAACCAAUCCUCCCUUGGAACUCGAAAUUGUUUGGAUCCGAUUUGUAGCGGGCUCUCUUAGCUUCGGCUUUGACGGCAAUCUGUCCAAACUGACAAAGCGAUGCGUCGACUUUGUAAAUUUCGUUUCCUUGGCUAUUUUUCACAAUUUCAGCUGCUACAGAAAUGCACCCCAAUAUUCACCCCUUUGUACGCCAAUUGACUGAUAACGAGGAAGCGAGUUGGAUGUUAACCCAUCCCUCUCUCAUCUUCAAGAUUUUCUAAACUAAGCACAACUCUUAGCAACGGAUAUCUUGGUUCUC